rnacentral:tRNA from 2 species
GGUCUAUUAGUCUAGUUGGUGUCGGAUUCUGAUUCACACCCAGCCAGAUGUUCCGUAAGCCCAGGUUCGAAUCCUGGAUGGACCU